UACGAAGGGGGCUAGCGUUGCUCGGAAUUACUGGGCGUAAAGCGCACGUAGGCGGAUUGUUAAGUCGGGGGUGAAAUCCUGGAGCUCAACUCCAGAACUGCCUUCGAUACUGGCGAUCUCGAGUUCGGGAGAGGCGAGUGGAACUGCGAGUGUAGAGGUGAAAUUCGUAGAUAUUCGCAAGAACACCAGUGGCGAAGGCGGACUCACUGGCCCGAUACUGACGCUGAGGUGCGAAAGCGUGGGGAGC
rnacentral:rRNA from 1 species